GGUUUUGCUGGGAAAAGAGAGUUUUGAAAACUUUUUAGAAGUGUUCGAUUCACUUAAAGACUU
rnacentral:tRNA from 1 species